GGAACAGGGCAAAAGGAAACUUCUUGUUAUUGUCUUGUCACCCUUAGUAGCAGGCACAUACUUAGGAAAGUCAGAUUUCCUGUGUAUGAGACAUACUAGAGUGGACCAAGGGAAGAAAACCCUAUGCAGAGCAACAAGCGAGUAGCAGUGGACAGGGAGCAGUGGGGCCCUCGGGGAAAAAACAGAGCUAAUGGCCCUGGCAGGGUUCCUCACACCCAGAGCUCUACCACCAUGUGAAGCUAACACUGCAAGCCCACACCCAUCAUCACAUUGUAUGGGGCAGUUUCUUGACCCUGUGUGAGAGCAGAGAAGACACCUAUAAUGGCAAAAACAAGGCACUCAUGAAGGGAUUUUAGUGUCAGGAAAUGAGAUGAGGUCAAGGGGAUUUGUAUAUAGAAACUGCAGCUGAAUUUGAAAUAAAGUAAACCACCAAAUGCUUAGUUUGUGCUUCAUUCAAUUGUAAAGAACUAAACAUCGUUUGUGAGUAAUUCAAACCGGAAAGUGAAGUGUAGGAUGUCAUAUUGGUGUUGGACGAUACAUAUAUAUAUUUAAAUUCUGUAGCACUGCCAAGUCUGAAUUCAAAUCAGUACCCUGGAAUGGAGCUAUCAGUGAACUGUGAGACAGAAAUAAAUCAAUAUAGAGCCACCGCACCUGGGCUCUAUCUCUUUAUUUUUGAAUUGUCAUUUAAAUUUAGUUUUUGUCUGUCGUGUAUAGCAUGUAAUGCCUUUAAUUUCAAAGUUAUCUGAGAGUAUUUCUCAAUAUGCAAUAUGAGAGUAAUAUGUUUGUAUUUAUGAUUUCUGGUA
rnacentral:lncRNA from 10 species